CAGGUCGGUUGGGCGAUCGCGGCUCUGCGUUGUCGGGGUCGAGGAAAGUCCGCACUCCAUAGAGCACGGCGUCGGAUAGCACCCGGGGCGGGGAACCCUCCGUGAGGAGCUAACCUGCCGGACAAGGGCCACAGAAACAAACAGCCGCCCCCACCCAAACCCUCCCCCAAUUUGGGGAAGAGCUGGGAGGGGCAGGUGAUGGUGAAAAGGUGGUGUAAAAGACCACCGGCAUCUGCAGUAAUGUGGAUGGCCAGGUAACCCCCGCCGGGAGCAAGACCAAGUAGGGACGAAGCCAUC
rnacentral:RNase_P_RNA from 1 species